UUUAAGAACUCAGACAACACGCCCUGUCUGCAUCUUUUAUGAUUAGACAAGACAAUACAUAUAUUUGCAGGGCCAUUUUCAAAAGAAGGAUAUUCAAACAGAAACUACAUCUUGUGAGACAAUGUUGACUAACCCCGGAAGCUCUAAUGGUACCACAUAAGUGUCAGGACUUUGACUUGGAUUUGUUUUGCUUCUUCGACGCGGAGGGAAUUUGGGACGAGCCAGGCGUGAAUUAAGUAACGGCCGGGAGCAGCAGGAGAGGAGAAGGUUUGGAGAGAUGGAGAGAACCAACACGUAAGAACCAGACUGAAAAGUCAAGACUCGUACCCAUCUAUUUGAUGUUCAACAAAACUGUAUUGAACUCUAAACGCCGAUCUCCCAUACACCUGUGUGAUCAGCAGAACCUCCACAGCGAUUUUCAACAAUAUUUGGCUUGUGUUUACUUAU